UAGGGAAUCUUCCGCAAUGGACGAAAGUCUGACGGAGCAACGCCGCGUGAGUGAUGAAGGUCUUCGGAUCGUAAAACUCUGUUGUUAGGGAAGAACAAGUAUAAGGCGAAUAACCUUAUACCUUGACGGUACCUAACCAGAAAGCCCCGGCUAACUACGUGCCAGCAGCCGCGGUAAUACGUAGGGGGCGAGCGUUGUCCGGAAUUAUUGGGCGUAAAGGGUGCGUAGGCGGUCUUCUAAGUCUGAUGUGAAAGCCCCCGGCUUAACCGGGGAGGGUCAUUGGAAACUGGAAGACUUGAGUGCAGAAGAGGAGAGCGGAAUUCCACGUGUAGCGGUGAAAUGCGUAGAGAUGUGGAGGAACACCAGUGGCGAAGGCGGCUCUCUGGUCUGUAACUGACGC
rnacentral:rRNA from 1 species